GGUCACGUGAUGGAGUUGGUCACCAUACCUGUCUAACACUUUGAAUCUUUCAAAGCACACACAGGAGGUCGGCAGUUCGAUCCUGCCCGGGAUCA